UCCUUUCUAGCUUAAGUUUAAAGUGAUAGUUUGAAGAGCUAUAGUUACGUGAAUGUGGUAGGAG
rnacentral:tRNA from 1 species